GGAUCGCGCCCUGGGCCAAAGGCAGGCGCCAAACCGCUGCGCCACCCAGGGAUCCCCUAAAGUAUUAUUUUUAUGUAGAGAGAGCGCAUGUGAACAGCGAGAAGUGCGGAAGAGGAGGGAGAGAGCAUCUCGAGCAGACUCUCAGAAGUACGGGGCCCAGUGCAGGGGUCGAUCCCAUGACCCCGAGAUCAGGACCCCGGCCGAAACCAAGAGUUGGACACCCAAAUGACUAAGCCAUCCAGGCGCCCCUCCUCCAUUUAUUUAAGUCUGUUGUUAGGUAUUCUUAUCGAUAAGCUUUGUGCAGUGGCAGAUCGUAGCCAAUGAGGUUUAUUCAAGGUGCGAUUAUUGCUAAAAAGGUAUUAUCAUUCAUAAUGUUGUCUAUUUGUGUUUUCCUUUUUUUUUAUAUCUAUACCGUGGGUCUUUUUUUUUUUUUUUUUAAAUAUAUCCAUGAGAGACACACAGAGAGAGAGGAAGCAGAGGCGGAGGGAGAAGCAGGCUUCAUGCAAGCAGCCCGAUGAGGGACUCGAUCCCACCACCCUGGGAUCACGCCCUGAGCCACAGGCAGAUGCUCAACCGCUGACCCGCCCGGGCGGCCCUAAGAUUUUGUUUAUUCAUCAGAGACCCAGAGGCAGCACACAGGCAGAAGGAGAAGCAGGCUCCCUGCAGGGAGCCUCACGCGGGACUCGCUUCCAGGACUCCGGGGUCAUGAUCUGAGCCAAAGGCAGGUCGAUGCUCAAGCACUGAGACACCCAGGCCUCCCUGCAAGUCCGCUUUCAAAUAACACAGUAUCCCUUCGCUGGUAGUUGGCAGAGCUGAAGCAGAUGUUGAUGCAGGACAGCUUGGCUAUGAAGAAUUCGUGGCGGGUGAGGAGGUUGGUGUUUGGAAGAACUGAUGACCAGCAUGAUGAGGAGAUUCCUCACCGUGGUGACCAGCUCAGUUUUCUAAACUGUGUUCCCUGGAUGUUAACAAGUGAUUCAAGAAGUUUCUGUGAUAUUUGAAGCCCGAGUGUCAUUGGGAGCUCAUGCUUGAAGCCUUGUCAGACAAAAGGGCUUAUCUGGGAAGUUAUGUCCUCAUGUCUCUGUCUCUCUCGAGUUCACGCCAUGGGAUCCACAAAGUUAUGUGUCCAUGUGGCGCGACUCCACCACACAGGCAAAUCUAUGCCCUUAAAUCGGAUGCAUGUGAAAUGGGAAAACAUAAUA